GACGAACGCUGGCGGCGUGCCUAAUACAUGCAAGUAGAACGCACAGUUUAUACCGUAGCUUGCUACACCAUAGACUGUGAGUUGCGAACGGGUGAGUAACGCGUAGGUAACCUGCCUGGUAGCGGGGGAUAACUAUUGGAAACGCUAGCUAAUACCGCAUAAUAUUAAUUAUUGCAUGAUAAUUGAUUGAAAGAUGCAACUGCAUCACUACCAGAUGGACCUGCGUUGUAUUAGCUAGUAGGUGAGGUAACGGCUCACCUAGGCGACGAUACAUAGCCGACAGGCGAGGAUGAGCGGCCGCACUGGGACGGUGACACGGCACAGACGCCUACGGGAGGCAGCAGUAGGGAUACGUGGGCAAUGGACGAGAGUCUGACCGAGCAGCGCGGCGUGAGUGAAGAGGGUCGUCGGGUGGGAAAGCACGGUUGUAAGGGAGGAACGGGCGUGAGAGUGGAAAGUACACACUGUGACGGUAUCUGACAAGGAAGGGACGGCUAACUACGUG
rnacentral:rRNA from 1 species